GGGGAAUAUUGCACAAUGGGCGAAAGCCUGAUGCAGCAACGCCGCGUGAGUGAUGAAGGCCUUCGGGUUGUAAAGCUCUGUCUUCUGGGACGAUAAUGACGGUACCAGAGGAGGAAGCCACGGCUAACUACGUGCCAGCAGCCGCGGUAAUACGUAGGUGGCAAGCGUUGUCCGGAUUUACUGGGCGUAAAGGAUGCGUAGGCGGAUACUUAAGUCAGAUGUGAAAAUCCCGGGCUUAACUUGGGAACUGCAUUUGAAACUGGGUAUCUAGAGUGCGGGAGAGGAAAGUGGAAUUCCUAGUGUAGCGGUGAAACGCGUAGAGAUUAGGAAGAACACCAGUGGCGAAGGCGACUUUCUGGACCGUAACUGACGCUGAGGCAUGAAAGCGUGGGGAGCAAACA
rnacentral:rRNA from 1 species